GGCCCAGGUUUCGUCAGCCUAGCCUACUUAAUUCAGAAAUCAGCCAACGAUCAAGAGGCAUUGUGUAAGAGAGACUCUUCUCCGAGAAGUCCUCCUUUCUUCCUGCGAGGGAGCCCAAAAGGCAACAUGAAUGCUUCACUUAAAACGGAACCGAGUGACCUGCACUGCACUUCUCUUGGUGACUAACUUGGCCAACAUUUCAUAAAGCCUCCUCCAUUAUGGACAGCGGUGCAUUUAUGGACCUGCCUGACCAUCUCGUCCACUGUGACAAGAUUCUGACUGGCACACCCAGUGUGUAUGUGUGUGUUGGUAAAAUAGUAUAAAUGUACAUUUAUAAGUGGGAAAACACGUAAUAAAUGUCCGUUUUGUGUUUUAAUAUGUGACUUUCUGCGUGUGAGCCUAACCCACUUUCCCCCCUUGUCUUCUCCGGGGUGUAUUUGGAUGCCUGUGUUGAGCCAUGCGUUAAGAACAUUCCCACAGUAAAUUAUGAAUGUGUGUGCGCGCCCCAUGUGCAUGCGUGCGUGUUGUGCAAUAGUAAAUUAUGAAUGUGCCGGGCUGCUGCAGGGGCAAUGGGUCCAGUGCGGGCUUCCAAACACGUGGCCCAUGGAGCGAACGUACAAAUGAUGGACAAAAGACGUCAAAUGUCAAUUAAGUUAAAAUCUGUGUCCAGUUUGUUUUGUUUUUCUUUUCUAGUACAGCAUAUGUGAAGGGGCUUAUUAUUUAUUCAAGCAUGCUGUGCUGUUUUUCAUAUUUUUUACCUUAAUUUAGAACUCAAAGAAGUUGUUCAAAAGAGGCCCAUCUGUUUUAUCAUCAACCCAAGCAUGAGUCCAUCCAAAAAAGCGCUUGUGUCAGCGUGUUAAUUAGUGGAAAAAACUGGCAGCGGAGUUUGUCAUCGUGUGGAGUGAGUACAAGGUUUGCAUUCAUAGAUGUAUCUUCGGGUGACAUGGGCACAUUUUGCUACAAAUCAUUGCCACUGUGACAAACUUAACAGCUAAAUGAAUUAUGUUUUAGAUCGUUACAAGUUCUGAAACAUUUUAGCCAUCAUCAGGGUCAAUGCAGAGGUCCUUUUUCUUUUUUAUGAGCGUCCCCACCCUUUCCAGUCUGGACUGUAAUUUCCAUUUUGUUCAGGAUUUUGGCCCACGGUUAUGGAGACUGACUUUGCGGUUUGUGCUUUCAUAUCCAAAUGAGCUUAAUUUCAAUGUGGUGUGAGCAGAUAUGAACCAUAUCCCUGUAAAUACCCUGUGAGUAAUGUCACUGUGUCCACAAAGUCAGCGUCCCAUGUCAGCGUCAGUACAGUAGUAUCCCUUCAACUGUUCUCAGGGUAGGCGCUCGUGUUGAAUCCUGGACCGGCUGGUUCCAUGUUACAACACUUUUGCCUCUUACACGCUCAGUUUAACUUUAUAGAGUUGUUUUUUCCUCUGAGGUAAUAGUCAAUAGAUCAAUGAAGGUUGGGCUUUUAUUAUUUCUUUAUUUGUUAGUUGAAGGGCCAUUUCAGACAGGAUCCGGUGCUGAGGCGAAAACACAGGUUUUUCCAUUCAUUUGAAGGGGGUGGUGUGUUUUGGCUGCUGCAUUGCGAGUCACAGGGGGCUGGAGAAGUUGAGCCAGAUUCAACUUUUGGAAAAAACACAACCUGAUGUCAUGCUGCAGCAGCCAAUCAGACCAGUCAAACCUCCACAAUCAGAAACUGAGACUAACCAGGUGGAAUCAUGGACUAAACUCUGAUACUCUACCUGUUGUGUUCUGGCUUUGUUUUUUCAUGUACCCAGCUAUUAAAUCUAAGUCUGGCAAUCUGUGCUGCAAAAAUAGUGACACAAAGAAGUUUCCUUUCGGUUUGUGAGCCCAAGAGAGCGAGUAUUCGUUCAGCAACAUAGACAGAAAGAAAAAGUUAUUUCCAGUAUUCCCCACCUUGCAACCCUGCAGAGAUUCCCCUGACAUGGUCUGAAUACGGCCUAAAGCGAGUGCAGGAAAUGAAGGGAGAGAAAGGGGGAGGUGCAUCAGUGAUCCUCAGCUGGACACGAAGCAAGGACCUUAUAUGUUUAAGGUCGGUGGCUUAACCCCUGCCCCACGUGGGCACUGCUUCAAUACCAGAAAGACCUUUUAGUAUAUUGUAAUACAACUCAACAGCACCACAAACCUGAGCAUCCAGAAUGAUCAGAAUGUUGAAAACCCUGAGCACUACAAGUUUCAUGAAGGCAGGAGUAUUUCAGACCUUUCUUAUUAUUUCGGCUUUAUCAAGGUUGAUCUAAUAAGACAGAGUGUAUAUUGAUAAUACCUUGACUUUACAUUACAUUUAGUCAUUUAGCUGAUGCCUUUAUCCAAAGAGACUUAAAAAA